rnacentral:lncRNA from 1 species
CGGGACAUCUUUGUCCAACCACUAAGAGUCCACAUUCUCCUUUGGAGCCGGGUCUCCGUUUUCUCCAGCAUCAUGGGCCCCUCAAGGAAGCUGAUGCAUGCCACAGGCCGUCUUCUCAGAAAACGGUUGGUUGGAUAUAUGGAUAUGGAACACACAGAUACAGAAGAGCCAACUGUACUUAAUGGUGAAAAACUCAGUGCUUGGUGUCUAAGACUGUCACAAGGCAAAGCUGUCUGCUCUCACUGCUGCUAAUUAACAUAGUGCUGGGAGUCCUAGCCAAUGCAAUAGGCAAGAGAAGGAAAUAAAAGGCAAACAGAUUAGAAAGGAAGAAAGAAAACUGUCCUUGUUUGCCAAUGACAUGUUGUCUACGUAGAAAACCCCAAUGAAUCUACAAACAACAACAGCAACAAAACACAACCCUCCUAGAACUAAGAAGAGAGUUUAGCAAGUUUGCAGGCUGGAAAGCAUACAAAAUUCAAUUGUAUUUACUACAAUUGUAUAUACUAGCAAUGACCAUGUA